UCAAAAAACUCAUUUAAUUGCUGCCACCCCUUGGCAAGUGCUGAGUCACUUUGAAUGCUUCAUAGCAUUCCAGAACACCUCAUCCUUUCUUAAUACUUCCCUUUUCUUCUUUUAAAGUCCUCCUUAUGUUUAGUUUAGAACAAGUCCUUCCCACCCCCGCCCCUCCCCCACCAACAGACUUGUCUCUGGAAAAGGUUGAGAAGAGCCAGUAAACUUAGUAAACUUGGCUUCCUUUUCUUGCUUCUCAUAUCCUUUAAUACCUAUGACUAGAAAACUUCAUGCCUUUUUACCUGAACAGUUCCAGGUGAAAGUAAAAGAGAGGACAUAGCAGGGAUCUGUUUAGUUGCAAAUAUGCUCUUGUUGGAAUAUAGAAGACUAAAUGCAAUAUCUGCUUCUAGUUUGCUGGAUCAACCAGAGACAUCCCACCAAAAUUCAAGCCAAUGUGAGAUUUACAAAUGCCAAGACACAGGUGGAUGGUUUGAAGAUAUUGGACUAGCAAGAUGGCAGCAGGUUUAAAAAGUAAGAUUUAUAAGAAGUUACUUUUUCAGACAUGUCAAACCCCCAAAUGAGAGAAGAUACUGAGGCCUGUUGCCACAAACCCGUAGAUCCGAACUUGUGGUGUUAGUCCACACAAGCUUGUGUCUAUAGGUAUGUGUCUGUUAGGCAAUCUCACAGACCACAGGCUUUGCCUGUAUGCCACUCAAUAUCCCUUCAAAUUCCUUUGUUCUCCUUCUCUUCCCCUUCAAUUCCUUAAGAGUGGUGGAAAUGGAAAGAGGAGCUGAUAUAAAGGAAGGAGACCAUUUGUUCUGGAAUGGAUGAGGUUCUUCAAUUUACAAGCUUACCCUGAAGUCUCUCAUCUCUUAUAACUACUCUCAGCUAUCAAAUUAAAAUACUAGGUGAGGCAGCAAGAAUUCAGGUGACUCAGACAACUUUUUGUUGAGUGAUGAGGAAAUAGAUAUAUAAACAAGAAUUUGUUUUAUUUUCUGUAAGCCUGACCAAUUGUUUUCAGAGUUAUGAUUUUUUUUUUUUUUUGGAAAUAACAAGGACUUAUUUAUAAGAACCAUUUCACCUUGCUUUGGGCUGUAUCUUGUAGCAAUUAUUCCUCACUCAUUGUUCUCCAAGUACAGACAAAUCGGUCCUUAUCUUUAAAAAUAAAAUUAAUGCAAAGAA